rnacentral:rRNA from 1 species
AGAGUUUGAUCCUGGCUCAGAUUGAACGCUGGCGGAAUGCUUUACACAUGCAAGUCGAACGGCAGCACGGAGAGCUUGCUCUCUGGUGGCGAGUGGCGAACGGGUGAGUAAUAUAUCGGAACGUGUCCAAUAAUGGGGGAUAACGAGUCGAAAGAUUCGCUAAUACCGCAUACGCCCUACGGGGGAAAGCAGGGGAUCGUAAGACCUUGCGUUAAUGGAGCGGCCGAUAUCUGAUUAGCUUGUUGGUGAGGUAAAGGCUCACCAAGGCGACGAUCAGUAGCUGGUUUGAGAGAACGACCAGCCACACUGGAACUGAGACACGGUCCAGACUCCUACGGGAGGCAGCAGUGGGGAAUUUUGGACAAUGGGGGCAACCCUGAUCCAGCCAUUCCGCGUGAGUGAAGAAGGCCUUCGGGUUGUAAAGCUCUUUCGCAAGGGAAGAAAACUUAUGAUCGAAUAAAUCAUGAGGUUGACGGUACCUUGAUAAGAAGCACCGGCUAACUACGUGCCAGCAGCCGCGGUAAUACGUAGGGUGCGAGCGUUAAUCGGAAUUACUGGGCGUAAAGCGUGCGCAGGCGGUUUUGUAAGUCGGAUGUGAAAUCCCCGGGCUCAACCUGGGAACUGCGUUCGAAACUGCAAGGCUAGAGUGUGUCAGAGGGGGGUAGAAUUCCACGUGUAGCAGUGAAAUGCGUAGAGAUGUGGAGGAAUACCAAUGGCGAAGGCAGCCCCCUGGGAUAACACUGACGCUCAUGCACGAAAGCGUGGGGAGCAAACAGGAUUAGAUACCCUGGUAGUCCACGCCCUAAACGAUGUCAACUAGUUGUUGGUAGAGUAAAAUCUAUGAGUAACGUAGCUAACGCGUGAAGUUGACCGCCUGGGGAGUACGGUCGCAAGAUUAAAACUCAAGGAAUUGACGGGGGCCCGCA